CUUGGGGGCGAGCCUGACCUUGAAGGCUCUCCAGAAUCCAGCAUCAGAGGGCUGUCUUACUCUCUUCACCUGUCCCCCUCUUUGAGGAACCCGGAAUCUCUGGGGCAGGGACGAUGCUGACAGCCCAAACGGACCAAGAUAUGAAGGAGGAGCAGGAUUGCCAAUAAGAACGUGAGAGUGAGAAGGUUCUGGGAGCAGAGAGCAGCAUGUGUCAAGGCCCGUUUCUGCUCACGGUGUCCAAGGACUCGACAGACUUUCAGUACGGCUGGUGAGUGGUGAAGAGACUGAGAUCAGAGAGAUUAAGUCAUCAUCCAACUAAUUAAGUACCCAUGGGACUUUCAUCAAGACUGACAAUAUUCUGG